CGCUAUCACUCCUACGGGAGGCAGCAGUGGGGAAUAUUGCACAAUGGGCGGAAGCCUGAUGCAGCGACGCCGCGUGGGGAUGACGGCCUUCGGGUUGUAAACUCCUUUCACCAUCGACGAAGGUUUUCUGACGGUAGAUGGAGAAGAAGCACCGGCUAACUACGUGCCAGCAGCCGCGGUAAUACGUAGGGUGCGAGCGUUGUCCGGAAUUACUGGGCGUAAAGAGCUCGUAGGUGGUUUGUCGCGUCGUCUGUGAAAUUCCGGGGCUUAACUCCGGGCGUGCAGGCGAUACGGGCAUAACUUGAGUACUGUAGGGGAGACUGGAAUUCCUGGUGUAGCGGUGAAAUGCGCAGAUAUCAGGAGGAACACCGGUGGCGAAGGCGGGUCUCUGGGCAGUAACUGACGCUGAGGAGCGAAAGCAUGGGUAGCGAACAGGAUUAGAUACCCUGGUAG
rnacentral:rRNA from 1 species